UCCCGUGAGACUUGUGAGCACCAUCCGUAUUCAGAGUACACCAGGGCCACUCAGGAGGAUGCCAAGAAAUCCACAUGUGAGCCCUAAUAUUCCUAGUGAGCAACGGGUGGUUAUGAAGCUUGUGAAUCUCCUCAGCUCUUGUAUGGACAUCCACCAACAAAGCCAAAGGGUCCAACAUCAAUUUGUUAAAGAGAAACUGGUUUCGCCAAUACCAGAUCCUCCAUAACGCGACGCCAAAAAAAACAGCCCAGUUCGAAACAUUCCCUACCUUACUAUUAACAGCCAGAUUCGAGCAGAGCCAAAGAUUAAGCCGAGAAUUAAAGAAACUGUGUCGUUUGCUUGUCGGAAUAAUGUUGAGCCAAAACUGCUUAACCAACCAACAAUCACGUUCCAUUUAUUUUAUAUUUUUCAGAAUAAAAAAUUUGUACAUUAAAAUGAUUUUACGACAUUUAAUAAAAACAUACCGCAAGCAACCAAACUACUAAUAAAUUUCUUUUAAUAAAAGCUGAAGCUCCAUUGAUGAAAACUCUCGUUAAACCUCAUAUUUAAAAAGCUACGAUAACAAUAACGGAGCCUCUUAACGCCGGUGACACUAAUACCCAUCCGAUCAUUAGCAGUUUUGCAGACGGUCAAGCAUCGCUGACCGCCAGGCAAUGGCUCCAAUCACAUGCUUAUGUAUCAGUUAUCACGUCACUUUCGCCCGACAUAUUAAAACAUAAAUUAGAGAUCAGGGCGGACUGCAUAUAAAAUUAUAAGUAAUCAUCACCAUCAUCAACAACAAUUGAAAAAGAAAAUGGAAAAUCGAAAUCUGAAAGACUCACCUUUGACAUUCAUAAACAAUAUAAUAAUAUCAUCACUCACAUAACGAAAACCUUAAUAAUUAUCAAUCUGAGAUUACAUGCAUUGUUAUUUGUUAAACACCCUAUUUAACCAUAGGCUUAAACGAGGUGAGACUCUUGAAAUGCUCCCAUGGCUUCUCCCAAACGACAGCUUCAAAUUUCUUGGUCGAAGGUCCGUCCUUGACGACCAAGAUCAGCCGGUAAUUGGUGCCGGAAACCACCUGAGUCUCGGCCUUCUCCACGCUCUCGAACUUCAACGCGCUCUUUGACCGUUUGUUGUACUCUGUCACCGCGAACUGCCCGAUCUCCAUCACGUGCUUCUCCGUGGGGUCUAUCGGAGUCCAUCCCCCAAAUAUAGGCUUAAACGAUGUGAGACUCUUGAAAUGCUCCCAUGGCUUCUCCCAAACGACAGCUUCAAAUUUCUUGGUCGAAGGUCCGUCCUUGACGACCAAGAUCAGCCGGUAAUUGGUGCCGGAAACCACCUGAGUCUCGGCCUUCUCCACGCUCUCGAACUUCAACGCGCUCUUUGACCGUUUGUUGUACUCUGUCACCGCGAACUGCCCGAUCUCCAUCACGUGCUUCUCCGUGGGGUCUAUCGGAGUCCAUCCCCCAAACAUAGGCUUAAACGAGGUGAGACUCUUGAAAUGCUCCCAUGGCUUCUCCCAAACGACAACUAACAAUUUCUUGGUCGAAGGUUCGUCCUUGACGACCAAGAUCAGCCGGUAAUUGGUGCCGGAAACCACCUGAGUCCAGGCCUUCUCCACGCUCUCGAACUUCAACGCGCUCUUUGACCGUUUGUUGUACUCUGUCACCGCGAACUGCCCGAUCUCCAUCACGUGCUUCUCCGUGGGGUCUAUCGGAGUCCAUCCCCCAAGCAUAGGCUUAAACGAGGUGAGACUCUUGAAAUGCUCCCAUGGCUUCUCCCAAACGACAGCUUCAAAUUUCUUGGUCGAAGGUCCGUCCUUGACGACCAAGAUCAGCCGGUAAUUGGUGCCGGAAACCACCUGAGUCUCGCCCUUCUCCACGCUCUCGAACUUCAACGCGCUCUUUGACUGUUUGUUGUACUCCGUCACCGCGAACUGCCCGAUCUCCAUCACGUGCUUCUCCUUGGGGUCCUCUAUCGGCUUCCAUCCCCCAACCAACGCUCCUUUACGGUCGCCGGCGGCCAGGAGAGGGACCACGGAGAGAAAGAGAACAAUAAGACAGCAAAAACGUUGAUUCAUUUUCGUUGUUUUGGUAACCGUUCACACCAAAGUCCGUGACUUCCGGUUCUUGAGUGAAUACUUCGCCUUGGCCCCUGGUUUUGGAUUUUAUACGCGGCGAGUUUUAGUGCACCGACACGUCUGUACGCUUUGUCUGAUUUGAAAAGGAGGUACACGUGACAGUCAGUGGUGUGAUUUCUGUGGUCUUAUCAUAUACGUGGCGGUUUACGAAAUGGGGCCCGCAUUCUUGGCGUGGCAGGAUGUGAAUACUGAGUGGGAAGGAGAAUGUAUGUGCUUUAGCACACCUGAGCAUUUACCACUGGAGAGUGAUACUGACGCAGGCAAAUAAUAAAAUAAUAAUAUCUAAUUGGGUGAGACUGAUUUCUUCUCUACACUACACCUUUUUUUUUAAUUAAAAAAAUAUAUAUUUUUUUAAAUUACUUAAUUAAUAUUUUUUCUUUGUCUAGAGAAGUGAUACUGACGCAGGCAAAUAAUAAAAUAAUAAUAUCUAAUUGGGUGAGACUGAUUUCUUCUCUAGACUACACCUUUUUUUUUAAUUAAAAAAAAAUAUUUUUUAAAAUUACUUAAUUAAUAUUUUUUCUUUGUCUAGAGAAGUGAUACUGACGCAGGCAAAUAAUAAAAUAAUAAUAUCUAAUUGGGUGAGACUGAUUUCUUCUCUAGACUACACCCUUUUUUUAAUUAAAAAAAUAAAUUUUUUUUAAAAUUACUUAAUUAAUAUUUUUUCUUUGUCUUUUUAAUUUUAUAAUUUUUAAUCAAUUCACUGAAAUAUGUUUUUCUAUUUAUAAAUAAAAAGAACAAAAUCUACUAUUUAAAAAUAACAUUAAUAAACUUUUUUCGUUAUUAAAAUUAAUGAAUAUCAAUAAAUUAAUUUUUAUCAAAUACAAAAAUUAAUAAAUAUUAAAAAAAAUUCGUAUAUAAAAAAUAUAAAAUAGAGCUCAUAAUAUAUUAAAAAAGGGUAAAACCAUGAAUUAAUUGUUUAGUUUAUAAAAUAUAAGAAGGUAGGAAGAAUAUCCAUUGUAAAAUUAAAAUGAAAAAAAGAAAGAGAUAAGUAAUUUUAAAUUUUUAAAUUUUUAAAAAUAAAUUUGUUUUGUAAAAUAAAAAAAAAAUUAAUGAAUUUAAACAACCUUAUCCUAUCCUAUUUAAUUUAGGUAGCCCCACCAUAACUAAUUAGACAGCAGAGAUAAGAAAAUUACGUGAACUUUAAAUGUGAUACUUUCUUCUGGAACAUUACAGAAUUUCCAACUAUGAAUCUUUCGAUUUUUUUUCUUUUUUUACUUUUAGUCAAAAUAAAUUAUCAUUAUUAUUAUAAUUAUUUUAUCGACAACUAUUAAUAAAAGCCCAGGAUAUUAAAUUCGAGUGAUGGAUAAAUAAAAAAUUGUAUUUUCUUCCUUCUCCAUCCCCGAUGCGCCGUGCUCAAUUUCUUCCUUCUCCAUGCAUGCUCAACGGCAUAGGGAUUGCCACUUAGGCUUGUAGUUUAGUAGUGAAUCAUUAUUUUUAAAGUUAAGUAUAAUUAUGAGGGUAAUUAUUUGAGUUCUUAUGGACUCAAUUUUUCUCAAUUAAAUAUAAUUAAGUGAAGACUUCUUAUAACGUCUUUCUCCUUUGGGAAAUGUGAGUGGAGUAGAAACAUCUUCCUCUGUGAGAGAUAUUUGGUUGGGUUUGUACUUUAUAGAAUAAAAAUAUAAUAAUAUAAGUCUCAUAUAUAUAUUUAAUUAUAAAUAUUAGUGUAAUGACUGACUGUCAUAACAAUUAUAUAUAUCUCUGUGUGUAAUACAGUAAUAUGAUGCUUAUUUGGUUAAAAAAAAAAAAAAAAACAGCAUAGAGGUUGUUCACUUUUCCCCUCCCUCACAAAGGACACAUAGCCAAUGGCAAGGCCGAAGCGAACACAACCACCAACAGUGCCAGUUCUCGCUGGAAAUAUGAGGCAGGAGGGUGAUGCAAGUUUGGGAGGCUGCUGGCGGGACGAAGAGCCGUGGCCUGCAGCUGAUCGACGCGGCGUGGACGAUGGUGACUAGCGGCUGCAAAAUCAUAACCCUGAAAUUUUAGGGCUUCCUAUUUGUUUUGGUUUGGGUGGUUUUUCAUAAUUUAUUAUCAAAUAAAUUAUUUUGAUUGAGUUAAAAAUAAAUAAAUAAAAAAUUGAAAGUUGAUGUUGUUUGUGAUGCUUUCAAAGCAAGUGUAUGGUGCUAUUGCUAUGGAUACUGGGACAGGCAAUGAUGCUGGAGUUUGAAGAAAAUUGAGUCCCAAAGAAACAAGAAGCGGUGAUGGUUGCUGAUAGACGCGGCAAAAUUUAUCGAUCCUUACGAGGGUGACAAAAAAGUAACCGUAGAAUUUAAGACACGCAUUCGACUAGUAACGCGCAAGAUGAGCACACAGGAAAGCACGCUCCUCUCACAAAUACACAAGCAAGCAUUCGCAUUUCAGCCACCCUACUGUUCUCAGUGACUCUCGGAUGACACUCUCAUGCAUUUCACGGCAUUCAUCGCCCUGAAACCUUGGACAAAGAAGGAAGUUGGUUAUUAUUCGUAAUUUCAGACAACGGUGAUACAAUUUAAUCUUAUUACACACAUUAAAAUUUUUAUAAACUAAUAUUGCCGGCACUAGCAAAAAAAAAUUUAUUUUUGUAAAGUUAAUAAAUGAAUAGUCUACUAAUUUAUUGAUAAAUAAAUAUUUAAUAAUUUACAGAGAGAUUUUUUUUAAUAAAAAAAAGAACAACCAUUACGGAUUGUUUUGGUCAUUGCAAGUUCCGGUUAGGCCAAGGUACGGUUAUUUGACAACAAGUUGGUGAAGACGAAGGCAUUCAUGAACUAGAUGAAGUUAUUUUUGGUCUACACUACAAAAAUAUGAUAGAUAUUGAGAGCCUUUUGAAUUAUCGGAGUGAAAAUGAUACACUGAUGGAAUCAUCUAUUGACGAAGAGAUUAUUCAAGUAUAGUGGAUUUCUCUAGUGAUGAUGAUUAAUGAUGAUGAUCAAUAAGAUAGUUUUGUUUUACAAAAUGUUUUCGCAAAAAGGCAUUUCAAGCAAUAGUAGCCUUAAAUAAUUACUUUUAACACACAAAAAAAAAGAAUACCAAGUUUACACAAAAAAAAAAAAAAAACAAGACUAAGUUCAAUUUAGGAACAAAUAAAAAAUCAAUAACUUUAGAUGUAGAUUUUGCAAAGAGUUGAAUGCAGAUAAUUGAAGUUGUUUAUAUUUUAUUUACUAUUAAUUUUUGUGUUUGAUUAAUUUUUAAUUUAUAUUUUCAUUAGGCCCUAAAAGAUUUAAAAAUAUUAUUAUCUUAUGCAUUAGACAAAUUAUUAAUUUAAUAAACUAGCCUAAAUCAGAGAAUCAAGAUUAUUAACUUAUCAAAUAUUUAUUUAUCGUAAAUUUACUGUAUUGUAAUUAAGAAUUUUUCACAAGGGAUAAUGAUCGAUUAUUUGCUGGCGAGAGCUCUCUGAGAACCUUUUUCUUUUUAAAUAAAUAUUGUUUUCCAUAAAAUCGUAUAAAAGCAAGUGCCACCUAGCUACAUCUAAUAAAUAAAUAAAUUUAUCCAACUUUGUUUAUUGCAGACCUUAUUUUUUACAUAUUAAAUGCUAGUGACGAGGCAUCGUGGAAGGAAUUCACUGACAAUUCAGUAUGCUGCGGAUAAUGCAUGUAUAAAUUUUUAGGGGCGCGUAAAUCAGUUUCCGUUCAAACUACAACACAUUCAAUUUAGAGUAUUAGGAUUGGAUUCAAAUGGUGAACUCAAUCUAAACCAAACUGAAUUUAAUUCGAUUAAAUUCAUAUUACAAAUUUAGGCUACAAGAGUUUCAAUCACUACCUCGUAAAACAAGUCAAACAUAUGGAAAAAAAAAAUCAAUAAAAAUCACAUAUCUAAGUCACUCCAAUCUCACAUUCAAAAUCUCAGGACCCAGUUUUCAAGAUUCAAUUUUGAGUCCCUUUCCAUAAGUAUCGCAAGUUUCGUACAUCAAUUAACAUUCAUUUUAGUUUUCUCAUGAAUGUGAUUGAAUGAUUUACUCUUGCUAUGGAUCAUGAGAUGUGAUUGAAGAAGUUCUUAAAUCUAUUUAUUAGUAUAGGGUUAGUAUACAUUAUUAGAUGAAUGAUUUAUCUUUAAUGUCAUGUGGUUGUCAAUGAAUGGUUAACUCCUUAUUUAUUAUGAUCUAUUGAUUGUAACUUAUUUUCACUUAUAACUCACCAUAUUUAAAGUCUUAGAGUAUAGCUCUAGAUAACUAGAGCUAGACUUUUUUCAACUUACUCAUAUUGAUUGUCACUCAAGAGAUGUAAACAUAAACAAAUUAUCAACAUGAGAAUAUCUUAAUAAGAUCACAUACUUAAGGGAUUGAGAACUCCUCUCCUAUAAAAUCUAUGUAUAUCACCAAGAGUUAUCGCUAUGUUUUAUUGUCACAAUCAACAAGCUAAGUAUACUUCAAAAUUAAAAUUGCCUAAGCUCUAUAUAGCUCAUAAUUGAAUCGCCGAGCUCAGUUAUAAAUUGCGAGAGCUAAUUGAGUGCAACUCAAUUACCAUCGCCACAACUGAGUAUAGCUCAGUAUUGAAAUCACUACAACUGGCAAAUUGUAGCUCAGUUAUCUCUUACUACAGCUUUGUACAUCAUAGUUAUGAAUUGCUAGAGCUAAGUUUAACUUAGUUUGAAAUCAUUAGAGCUGUGAGAAAGCUCAACUACAGACUCCAAAAUAACUUAGAAGUUUACUAAUUAACAAAAGGCGACUCAGCAGCGAGUUGCCACAUGUCACCCCCACAACAUUUUCUCUUAAGUUUCUUGUGCGUUAAUUAUUUCAACACAAGAAACUAGAUGGAUCUUGUUUUGGGUAAAUUUAGGACAUUAUUUUAGAAAAAUAGGCAAGUACAUGCGGCAGUAGAGAAUAAACGAGAAGAAAAGUUAACACUUUUAAGUGAAUAAGGGAUAGCUCAAGACAAGUUAGAGGUAAUCUUUGAAAGAGAGAGAGGAUAACUCCAGGAAAUUUGCCCAGUUUAAAAGUGAAAGUGGAAUUAAAAAAUGAUAAUUGGAGCCCUCACGUGUGGGCUGCAUGCCAUCAGAAAAAGGGUUAAAUAUCUUGUCUAUUAUGCUAAAAACAAGAGACCAAUAGCAGAAUAAUUAGCUGACAUAGCAAUGAGGAAAGGACAUGUUAGCACUGCUUAAUUAUCCCUUAAAAAAUAGUAGGAUCACUGCACCAGCUUCUGCCACGUGGCAAAGAGCAAUGACCACAUGAAGGUUAAAGGAAUGAAUUAUUCACCAAACUUACUUGGUCACUAUUUGAGGAAGGCAGCACCAAUAGAAAAUCUCCGUAUGAUAGAAAAGAUAAAAAUGUCCCUAGGGCGUUUAUCCUAGAAAUUUAACUCAGGACAAGAUAAUAGACUUUUUCUCCAUAUUUGAUUUUUUGAGAGGCUACUUCAUGUUCUUCUUCCUGCAAUUUUAGGAUUUUUUAUUUCAUUUUUAUACCUCCAUGGAAGAUUUCAGUGAUCUCAUCUCUUAAAGAAACUUUUUCAUUAUUUUUUUCUUAGAAAACUAUCUAAUCUUCAUAAGACCCACAUCUUCCUCAUGUUAUUAUUCAUCCUAAACAAACUUUAAUAAGAUUUUGUUAAUAUUAUAAAUAAAUAAAUAUAUAUAUAGGACAGUUAUUAUUCAAUCUGAAAGUCCUGGAUUGGAUCAUUGUCUGGGAAUCCACUGGGAAUCCAACGACCCCUGGUGUCUUUUUUUUUUAAUUUGUUGCUGCACAUGGUGGGGCCCACCAUGUGCAGCCACUAGGCUUUGUCCCAAAAACUGUUUCACAAUUUCCUAUAUAUAUAUAUGUAAUACUUUUUUUAUUUAUUAGAUUGGAAAUAAAUUACUCCCGUGGAUAUAAGCCUAAUGACGAAUCAUGUAAAAUCUUAUAUGCUCUUUAUGAUUUACGUGUAUUUCCUACUUAUUACAAUGGUUUUAAACUUCAUAUAUGAGCUAACAUGAGAUAUACUGAUAAGUUCUCUAGAAUUAUCUCUUGAUUGCACCUAGGGUGCCAUUAAGCUCUCUUAAGCUUGCCAUAUCAACGCUCUAUGCUAACUCCAACGAGCUUUAUUGAGUUAUCUAAGUUAUUCCAAAUUCAAAAUAUUUUAGUUCACCUUUGAGAUCACAUCAGCUAUAUCUUUUGCCCCAAAUGUUAAAAAAAACAAAAAAACCUAUCUCUGCUAGCCCAAUCUCUCCAUAAAUAUAAAUUUAUUUAUUUAAAUCAAAUUUGACUUUGAUCUGGUAAGAACAACCAAUAAAUAAUUCAAAUCAAAUUUUAGUCAAAAUCUGGUGAGAACUUGAAUAUUUUUAUAUACAUAUACCUUCUUUUAUAUGAUGUUGUCUUGAAGCUGAAGCUAGGUUAGCAGAAGUAGUAGUACUAGUACUAGUGCUUCUCAUGGGCGGAUAGAAAAUGCAGAAAUUAUAUUUUGAACUAUAUAUGUUCAAUAAAAGGGAAAAAACUCAAUAUGGUGUGCUAACCACUAAGGGAAGCAUUCAUUAGGCACGCAAAUAUACAAUAGGCGUCUUUUCUUAUAGGAAAAGCAUCAAUUUUUAUCAUCAUCUCAUCAAACACUAGCAUUGCUAUAAUUCCUAUUCAGGGUCCCCCAAUGCCUGUUACGGAGACUUGAUUGAGAGAAACCUCCACAGUUUACAAGAGUUUGCAGCUACUGAACAUCCCCAUCUGUCCCAAAAACAUAAGCACCUGCAAUAUCCAAAAUUUGUCAAUACAUUUGUAUCAAGAAACAGUAAACAAUUAAUGUCGCGGUAAGAUUAUUUACCAAGUGUAGGCAUUAGAAAGGCCAGAGCAGCAAUGCCAGCAAUCUUAAGGGGCAGCCCUGUCUUGAUCAUAUCUUGAAUUUCGAUGUGCCCGGUUGUGAAUCCAACAAUAUUUGAAGGGGUUCCAGUCGGCAACAAGAAAGAAAAUUGUGCUCCAAUUGCUCCAGGAACCAUAAGAAGCAAUGGAUGAACAUGCAUAGUUUUUGCUAUUUGGAUCAGAAGUGGAAGAACGAGAGUUGUUGUGGCAUUAUUUGAUGUGAAUUCAGUAAUAAUCGCGCUAAUCAGACAUACGAUAGGUGCAAUGGCUAAAUAUGGCGCCGCCUCCAGGAAAUCCAAUGCUUUUGACAGAUCAUCAGCAAGACCGCUAGUCCUGACUCCAUCAGCUAUAGCAAAGCCAGCCCCUAAAAGCAAUAUAAUGUUCCAAGGUAGCUUCUUGCAUUUGUUCCAAUCCAUCAAUUUUUCUCCCUUUUGCUUCAUGCUCGGAAUUAUGAACAACAAUGUUGCCAUCACAACCUAUAUUUGUGUGUGUGUGUGUGUGUGUGUGUGUAUACAUAUGUAUUAAUAAUUCAGUUAAAAAUCAUCCAAAAGCUUGAUUAAACAUGUCUCAUUUAAUUAUGUUCUCAAAUGAUAAACAAAAGACCAAAGAGUACUCACACUAGCAGUUCCAUCACCAGCACGGUCAUUGAAGAGUGCUCCCCAACCUGGAAUGUCAUCUGUUAUUGAUCUUGUCAUCCACAAUGCUAUUAGCAUCUGCAUCAUUUAUCUUAAAUUAACUUGAAGACAUUUCCAAUAACAUUAUGCACAUCACUUAAAAGGGGAGAAAAAAAAAAAUUACAGCUCAGCUCACCCCAAAUACAGCUAGUACCAUCUUUUCAGCAAAAGCCAUUGGACCUGCCAAGAAAAACACCAAACAAUAGAAUUAAGCCACUGAACAUUAAUUAGCUGUAGCUGUCAUUAAUUGGACAGACAGCAGGGUCUUACCUAACAUGUCAAGCUCUCUCUUGAGAUUUGCUUUGUCCAAAUACUCGGAGAGAGCAGGUCCAGAUCCCCUUGAACAAUAGAACAAGCACAAAAUAGCCCACAAAGCAACGAAAAUCACUAAAGCCAAAGGGAACCCAAAACAGAACCAGGUACUGAAGCUGAUCGGGUUUGCUUCUGGAAAAUAGGUCUUCCACAUCCCGACCAAUAUUAGAUUAACACCUGUUCCAGUAAGUGUGCUCAUCCCUCCUACGGCUGCAGAGUAGAUGACCCCGAGCACCACAGCUUUGCAAUACUUCCUAACAAGGGUUGAUUGAAGAGGAACCUCUGGCAAGUUCUGUAAGAUCCCAGUGGCCACUGGCAUCAUGAUCACUGCUGCUGCCACGUUAUGCAUCCACAUGCUCACGAAUGCUGUCGUGCCACAUAUCCCAAGAAGCAGCAAGGGCGGAUUCAUUGGCUCUCCACAGAAUAGAAUAGUUAUCUGUAGUUAUUAAUAUAUAUAUGGUAUAGGAUUGUCCAUACAUAAUUAAUUCAUCUUUUGUCACUGAUAAUUUUUCUGAAAAAGAAAUCGUAACAAUUAAUGACAUGAUGAUGAUGAUGCAUUACGGGAACUUACAUUUAAGGCCAAUCUUUUGUGAAUGUUGUAGUGCUCAACGGCAAGAGCAAGAAUAAAGCUACCAAGAACGAGGGCAAUAACAUCAUCCAUGUAAGAAUGAGCAACGGUGUCAGCAGAAGAGAUACCAAACAGAGGAAACAGAAACAGAGGCGCCAUAGAGGUAAUGGGCAUGGGUACGGCCUCCGUGAGCCACCAAGCGAAGACCCAAGCAAGAACACCCAACAUGUUCCUGCUUGUCGCCUGCCCAUCGAGCUUCACACAUACACAUAUAACAGCGCACAGGAGAGGUCCUAGGAGGAUGUAGAAAUUGUUUGGUGUGAAAAUGGUUUUCAAUGUGAAGUGGGAGCUUGGUGACCGUUGGAUUUGACGAUGGGAAGGUAGGAGUGGCGCCUUGAUGUCACCAGAAUUUGGAUGAGCUUCGUGGUCACCGUUCAUUUUGCAGUGAACGUGUAACACGAUACGAGAGAAAAUUGAAGGUGUCGUUCGAAAGUGGAGGUUGCUGCAUGCCUUGGCCUUUUUAUAUGAAAAAUGUGAAGAGGAGGUGGAAGUAGACAACUUCUCUUUACCAUGACCCAACGACAGACGGCCAAGUGGGCACCAAACCUCCCCGAUUUUAACUGAAAAUAUACUCCUGCGUUGUAAGAAUUGAACAAGUCGUGUAUCUUACCGUGGACCGAUGUGAUAUUUGAAUUAAAAUAUUCUUACCGUGUAAGAAUAUACUCAAAAUAAUAUUUUUUAGUUGAACUUUUUCCUUUUAGAUAAGUCUAAAACGAUGUUGUUUCAAAUGUGUUUUUAUCCAUGCUUCGAUUCAUUAUCUGAAAAAUAAAACUAAAAAAUCUGAAUCAGACUGCCCCAACUUCAAAUUCAUUAUCCACUCACUACAUGACUCGUAACCUCAUCAUAUCUGAAUAUAUACAUGUAUAUAUACACACACACAUGCCCCAGAUCUACUGGACUUGAAAAUGAUGUAUUUUUUACAGGUGGGCAAAAUUUAAUUUACAAAUUUGCAUGAUGAUGAAGCUUCCGUGUCAGCUUCGUUAAGUGGUAAUCAAGAGCGUACUGGGGUUUCCGAUAAAUCAUGAUAUUGUAUAUUUGUAUGCAAUCAUCAAUCGGGGUCCGAGGAUUGAGGUUCGUAAUUAAUUAAUAAAUAAAAUGAAAAGAGAGAACCUCAACACCACAAGCUAAUCCAAUUAUUGCUCGACUAUCCAUCACAAUAAUUUGAAAACCCUGUUCAUAGUUCCACGUGUCGGACGAUGUUUUUCGCAAUAAUGCAACGUUUGGCACAAAACGUGGGCUCAGGGGUCCACCCCGAAAUUGACCUGUUGGGUCAUAUGUCUUGUCUUUCACCAAUCGUUAAAAAGCACAAAAAAAAAAAAACAAAAAAAAAAUCUAGGAUUCCCUCCCUCUCCGGAACUCUCUUAAACUUUUAACAAUUUUAUAUUGGGUCCUUCUAUCUUACAUGCAUGUAAGAUACAUUCCUCUCAUAUGAAUAGUGUGUGGAUCCCACACAUGCACUAUUCAUGUGAGGGGGAUGUAUCUUACAUGCAUGUAAGAUAGGAUUUGCCUUUUAUAUUUUAUACGAUGUAAUAAUAGUAUACAAAUAGAAUUGAGCUUCUUUAUUUAUUUAUUUAAUACUGAUUACACACUAAAUUAUUAUAUUACACAAAUAUUUAUAAUUACUAUUAAAUAUUACAUUGAUAUUUACAAUCAGAUAUAUAUAACUGAGACUUAUAUAUGAUUACAUUAAAUUCUAUGAAAUAUAUGUCCAGAUAAAUUAUUCUUACAGAUAAGAGAUGUCCUACUUCACUUAUAUUUCAUAAAGAAAAAAAAGUUAUAAAUAUUUAGAUCCCACAAUAUUUUCGUGGGGGCUUGUGAGGUCAGCAACCCACCACUUCGACCAAAGCUGAAGUGGCAGCUUCUUUAUUUUUAAAAUUACUAACUAAUCAAUAGAUAAAUUUUCAGUCAAGAGUGCUCAAUUGAAAUUUAGAUUGCGCGAAAAUCUUUAUUCAAAAUAAGGUGGCGGUGAAUACUUUUUUUUUUUUUUUCUUUUUUGGGAAUGAAAAUUUACAUUUUGUUUUCUUAGAAUUUGCACAUUUUGUAGCGGAUCUAGUUUUCCACGUACAAGACAAUCCCAGGGUUUGCAUUUUUUAAAAACUUGAAUUAAUAUGAAAUUUAAAUAGGCGUGAAUGAUAUAUUAAAUAUAUGAAAAUACUUAUACAUACAUAAAAGAACCCACCCACGUAAAAAACUAGUAAUAGUAAAUGAAGAAUAAGAUCCUAAGCUAUGUCCAUUUUUAUCCAAUUUAAUUUUUUUUCCCACUCGUAUGCAGGAAAAGAAACUGCACACAAACCUGGUCGUCUAAUUUAGAGAGUACGUCAACACAGGCAACUCAAAGAAAAAGAACAAUUAGAGUUCGAGAGUUUGGAGUCGAUACUCCUCCAUAGGCGGCCGCUCGAUUAAUGCCAGCUACAAGUUACCUCUUUCAUUUUUAUUUUUCCUUUUCAAGUAUUUUAAGUAGACUUUAAUUUUACUAAAAAAUUAAGAGAAAUGCUCUAAUGUAUGACGUAAUGAUGGGUAUGCACAUGCAUGCAUGCAUAUAUAAUUUUUUUUUAGUAAUGAUAUAGCCACAAACUCUUGUACAAACUUAUUUUGUACAAACUGAUGUGGCAUGAUAAAAUUAGUUGAAUUAAAAAUCUUUUGGCCCACAUGAUUUAUUUAUAUUAUUUUAUAUUUUCAUUCAACCAAUGAAUUAAUGCCACAUCAAUUUGUACAAGAUACGUUUAUACAAGAGUUUGUGGCUGUAUCAUCACUCAUGUUUUUUUAUUACAUGAGACCAAUGCUUAUGAUUACAAUUCAUAUUACAUGAAAUUAUUUAUUGAUAUAUUUAUAAUCAAACAAUUACUGAGAUAAAGAUUGACUUUUUAUCCUCCUAAAUAUUUAAAGAAUUUUUUAUUUCAGUCUCAUUUUAAAAGAGAAAAUAUUAUCUUCACACAAUUAUCAUUUAAAAAGUAAAUUUUAGAUCCAACAAUACUUUAGUGCAGGGGCAGCAGCCCUGCCCCCGACUGCAUGCAUAUAUAAUUUAAGAAACAAUAUAUUCCCCUGAUUUGAGCACUACUGAAUUUUUAAUCUUAAUAUAUAAAUAAAAUUUAAUUUCUUUUAUUUUUUUAUUUAUUAACAAUUAAUCAAUUAUCAUAUUCUUUCCUUAUCUAUAAUUUUUUUUUUUUUUUUGAAAGGAAGAAAUUUCAUUAAGCAAAACUUACAAACUGUUUAACAACCACAGAGGUGGAACAACAUUCCACUCCUGGGGACCUGACAAAGAACCUGUUGCCCUCGCAACGGAGUGAGCAGCAAGAUUCGCAGAUCGACACACAAAGGAGAAUUGCACUUCUCCGAUAAACUUAACUAAAGCUUGACAGUCUUCAAUAAUCAAACCAAACCCAUUUGGACUUGAAAACUGUUCAACCAAAGCUCAGAACACUUGUAGGCAGUCCAUCUCUAUGAUAACACAUGGAAUCUGCAGUUCUUUCAUCCAACUAAGAGCCUCUCUUAUGCCAAGAGCUUCAGCCUCCCUUGCUCCAAAAAUUCCUGCCACACUCACACACCUUGCUGCCACAAAACCUCCUUGUGAAUUACGAAUCACACAACCGAUCCCAAUCUUCCCUUGAGACUCAAACACAGCUGCAUCCACAUUGCACUUUACCCACCCAAACUUAGGUUGCUCCCAACACAAUGCCCCAUGAACCAAUCUGUGAGUAUCAUCAUUAACAUCAAAUACUUGCUGUUUUGCCGCUUGCCACUGAUAGAGAAACUGUCCAGCAGAGUUGAGAAUUUGACAAACUGAGCUGGUAGUGUUGUUCCAAACUUUGUUGUUUCGAUUUACCCAAAUCCGCCAACAAAUCAUCAUAGCAGUAUUACACUCAUCUUUACUGCACCUUGUAAAAACGUGAGCGAGCCAGUCCAAAAAAUUAGAGCAAUAGCCAACAAAACCCACCGAUGAAGAAGUCCAACAAGACUUAGCAAAACUGCAGGCAACCAAGGAGUGUAAAACUGUUUCUUCAUAGGCAUUACAUACAGAACACAUAGCUGGAACAUCCACCCUUUUGGAAAUUAAAUUGAGUGCUGUAGGCAACACGUUGUGUGCAGCUCUCCAAAUAAAAUUCUUAACCUUGUUCGGCACUUUCGAGUUCCACAAUUUCCUCCACACAUCCGCUAAGGAACCAGGAGUGAUAGGAUUUAAAACCUUAUAGCAACUGCGAACUGAAUAACAUCCCCGGGAAUCCGCCAUCCAAUACCACACAUCAUCUUCGCGGCGGGAACUAAGAGGAAUCUUCAGAAUCAACUCCUUAUCUCUUGAAUUGAAGAUGUCCGAAACAACAUUAUAGUCCCAAGCUCGUUGGUGAGGCAUCAUUAAGCUGCUGACAGGAGCUGCAGCUAUCUCCUCAUUAAGAUUUGUAGAAACACACCCAUCUUGGAGGUCUGGAAGCCAAGGAUCUUUACCAAUGGAUAUCGAAUGACCACUGCCAACCUGCACUCUACUCCCUUGGACCACCACUUCCUUUGCAGCCAGAAUGGAACGCCAUACAUAGCUGGGAUUAUGCCCCAACGAAGCUCGAACUACAGAAGUUCGCGGAUAGUAACGAGCUUUAAGAAUUCUCGCCAUUAGAGAAUCAGGGCAGGUUAAUAACUUCCACAUCUGCCUUCCUAACAUCGCAAUGUUAAAUAAAUAAAGUUGCUUGAACCCAAGUCCACCACACCCCUUUGGUUUGCACAAGUAUUUCCAUCCUUAUCUAUAAUUUAAACGACUAUGACUGAGACAUAAUUUUCUCGAUUUUUUCCUUACAAUUAUUGUCUGCCCUCAUCAUACUCUAUCCUAUAAUCUGCCACGUAAUUGCUAAUAUCGCCGUCCUGGACAAGUGGAUGGUAGUUUAUUAGUUAAUGUUCCUAUAUUCUAGGUGUCGUUGCAUUUUUAAAAUUGCGGUUGGCGGUAGCCAUUUGAUUUGCUCGUCUGGUUGUCCAAUCGUCAAUCAAUUCACCUUUUCCAAGACUCUGUGAACGAGGUGUUGCGUGCCUUGGCCUCUUGGCGCUUCAAAACUCCCAACCGUCGUAGCAUGCAAGAUUAAAAAAGAUAAUUAGUUAUUCAUCUGGAGUUUAUACUUUUAUUAAAAGUAUUAUCAAAAUUUAAAUUAAUAUCACUUUUUACUCAAAGUUUAUAAUUUAUAUCUGUUAGAUUAAAUUACGAAAUGGCUAAAAGUGUACAAAGAAAAAUAGGUUUAAUGAAAUUUUUUUACUACAAGAAUAGUCUAGGGACUUAGAAUUUUUAGUAAAAUAUUUAAAAACAAGGUACAUGUCCAAGGACGUGGGCCGACCCACCCUCACACAUGAGAGUUUGGACAAAGACUCAAGAAAAAAAAUCUGGAUCACACCUAGGCCCACUCUGCUGUACGGCCAAGGCGGAUGUACGGUACAGCAGUGUAUGCAGGUUCAUAAUUAGCUAUGUAAGCAGACUUUGAACCUUUUCCUCUCUGAAAUUGUCUUGGUGGCUGAGGUAUGUAAUUUUAUUCAAAUCUAUGCCAGCAUUCAACAGCUGUAUGUCCUACUUUGAAGCAAAUCUGACAUGUAUUCAUGGAAUGAUCACUAUUGGAUGCUUGUGACUCAAAAGAAGGUGAAUUCCCAGUACCAGUGAAACCAGUACUACCAAAAGAACCUCUUCCAGAAGAACCAAAUCUAUUACUUCCCAUCAUCAUUUGAUUUCUUCCAUGAUUACCAAAAUGACCAGAUCCAGCAGGAAAACCCCUUGGAUGAGAGUUCAAAAACAUUCCUCUACCAUUAAACAUGCCAUUUCUACCAUAUGAAUGACCAUUGUAAUUGCCCUGGACACCUCCUGUAUAUCCUCCUCUCCUAGCUUGACCUCUUAUUUGAGCAUAGUAUGCAUUCAUCAUACUAUUAUUAUUCCAGUUAGACAUAUUAGCAUAGUUUCCAUUAAACAUGUGUUUUUCACUUUGACUUUGUUCAAGUCUAACUUCAUGAGUGAGUAAUAAAGCAUAAGCAUCAUCAUAAUCCAAUUUGCUUACUGUGAUAAAAGUAGCUAAAUCCAAAUAGCCAGCUCCUAGACCAUUGAGAAUUUGCUAUUAUGAUAUUAAACUCUCUUUUAUCGUUAAUUAAUUAAGAGAAUGUUUGAAUUAGAGAAUCUAAUAUUAAAAAAAAUUAAAUUUCUAAGUUUUUAUUUGCUUUAUUUAUUAUUUUACUUUCAAAUAUUCAUUUUCUUUAAUUUAUUUAUAAUUAUAACAAUUUGUUGAUCAUUAAUUUAUUUUAAAUUUACAAUAAUUUAAAAAAAUUUAAAAAUAAUUAAGCUCAAGCCUGGUCUAGGCCCUGCCUUCAUGCUUAUCUUCAAGUCCAUGCCCAAGCCCUUUUUUUCCAUCCCUAGACGUGAUUUAAUAAAGAAUGACUUGGGUACUUAGAAAAUAUUUUUUUAAUACAACAUUCAAAUAGCAAGUCUUUAAUAAAGCACUAAAUGCGUGAUUUUAUAGAAAAUGACAUAGGUACUUAGAAAACACUUCUAAGUGAAAUGUCCAAAGGGUAAAUAUUCAACAAAGCGUCAAAGGUGUAAUUCUACCCAAAAAUAAAAACUGACCUAGGUACAUAGAAAAUAUGUUUAAAUAAAAUGCCUAAAAGGUGAGUAUUCGAUAAAGCACUAGAGGCAUAAUUCUACAAAAAAAAAUUACUUAAACUCAUUCUUUAUAAAGAAUAACCUAAGGACUUAAAAAAUACGUCUAAAUGAAAUGUCCAAAGACAAUAAUUGACAAAAUAACUAAGGGUGUGAUUCUAUAAAAAUGGCUUAGGCAUAUAGUAAAUACUUUUAAUAAAGUGUCUAAGAGCAACUAUCUACUAAAUGAUUGAAUGAACGGGUUAAAAAAAGGGUCCAAAGUAUAAUUUAAAGUACAAAUAGCUCCACUCUUAAUUGAAAAUUGAUUAUAAGAAAAUAGUUAUUUUUUAGCAUGUUAAAUAUUUAAAUUAUAAUUAUGAUGUCAUCAACUAUAAACAGUAGUUAGCAUUUUAGUGGACGGUUGAUAUAAAUUGUAAAUUUAAGGUAAAAAAUUGAAUAAAUUCAAUUUGUUGUAACAUUUCUUUUAUAAGAAGAUAAACUUAAGGUGGGUGACUAAUAAUUUAUAUUUAUCAAAUAUCAAGAUUUAAAAAUUAAAUAAAGCUAAAUAGUCCCAAGCAUAUUGUAAAUUGGAUUGCUAAGUUGAAUAAAUAGAAUAUAUAACCCAAGCAUUGUUUUUUCAAAUAAAGAUUCCGGCAGUGGCAAGUAUGGGAACCUAUUUUGGAAAGUCAUCAAACGGCUCAAGCCCACCUCUGAAUCUUGAUAUUUUGUAAGAUUAAAGUGCAUCUAUCUCUAUCUUUGUUCGUGACUCAAUUUUUUUUUGCCGAAAAUGAAAUCUAAAACUCAUCUAAUUUGUCUUCCAAUUUCCGCACCCAAAUUCUCCCAUCAAUAACUUCCAGCAGACAAUGCCGUGCAAACUUGUUGCUAAAGCAUCGCUGUGGCGCCGCUCGUAGAAGCCGCCUGAAGCAGCGCCGCAGUGCUAAUGGUUGGGUCUCAUUUCAAGGACUUAGAAGAUGCAUUUGCAGUCCAACUUUGUUUGUCAUUGCAGGCUGUGUUUUUGAGAUAACAAUUACUCUACUUAAAUUAGUGGAAUUACAAUAUUAAUUGUAAAAUUUAUAUAUACUUGUAGUUAAUAUUGUAAAUUUUAUUUGAUCAAGUUUCUUGAUACUUUGUUGGUGUAUCAUGUUUUGGACUCCUGCUUCAACAAAUUAUGAAGCAGGAUGUUGCUUGCGAAAAUUCUAAUAAUUAUCCUCAAGGGCCAUCUAUAUAAUAUAAGGAAAGAUCCUUUAAAAUUGGGCAAUUGCAAGCAUGAAUGUCUUCAUCUUACACCUCAAUUCAUUAAGAUUCAACAUGGCACUUCACCUGAACACACAAACGUUUAAUUUCAUAAGUCCCAUAUCAACAAAUUAUCUAGAGUACGUAUUACAAGCUUUUGACGUCAAAUAAACCUAAACCAAAAGCUGGAUUCCUUGCAAAUUCAUCCAACGGAUUUCCGCACUUUUGUUGAUGUGUGAGAACCUUUAUUAAAAAAAAACAAUAUAUAUAUAUAUAUAUCUGCUUUUGAUCCACGAUCUUAAAGUGCGGGAAAAAUCGGAGAAAACUUUAAAAUUGUGGGGUUUUAAAGGCUUACAACUUGAAGUGCUUAAACCGUACGGUUUAUACGUUUUCCUAGAUGUUCCCACACUUUAUAUAUAUUUGAACAAAAUUGUGUUAAAUUAUAAUCAAUCCAAAGGUCAAGAAUAAUGUUGAUGUGGAAAUUUUCUUUAAAAUAAAUAAACAACGGAUUCCACUUUUUUUUCUAAAAAAUAAUAACAAUAAUGAUAGAAUCAGGAAUAGUUUUGUAAAAAUUAACACGUACAAACUAAUUAGUUGAAAAUUGAUAAUAAUUAUUAUUUUUCAAUUAUUUGUACCUAUAAUGGUUUUAUAUAUUCAAAUUUCUUAUGUCACAUUAGUUUAUAUAUACUUGUUUGUACAAGAUAGUUGUAUUUUUAUCAUUACUCUAAUAAUAGAGUUCAAUAAUAAUAGUCACAAACGAUUUUGUACAAACUAGUGUGUACAAGCAUAUGUGGCAUGAAGAAUUGGUUGAAGAGUAAUAACAAUUAUUUUGUUAAUUAUAUAGACUCAUGAUGAGUUUAUAAAACUAAUAUUCUUAUGUCACAUUAGUUUGUAAUCUCGCUCCCCUUUGGGUUUCCUCCCACAAGUCUCUUACUUCAUCCCAUUUUACACUACAUCAAGUCAGCAACCCUUCUCCUAUACUUUGAUAAAAAUGUAUGGUAAUUUAAUUGUAAACGCGGUAAUGAAAUAAUUUUUAACCACGCUGCUCAAUUGAUUUCUCUUAAGAAACUUCUGCUUUGAAAUUGUCAAGUUCAAUCCUUUAGAAUUUUAAAAUUAUUUAAAUUCGCAAGUAAAAGUAAUUGCGCAGCAAAUUGUGUAUUUUACUCUCAAUUCAUCUUCACAAGUCCAAUUGCCAACUUCUCUAUCAACUUGUUAAAUUAAAUAAUGCCUCAUGAAAUACAAAUCAAUUUUAAGAAUGUGUUUUUUUUUUUUUAAAUUUCUCUCUCUCUCUCUCUCUCUCUCUCUCUUCUUCAAUUCAGAGGAUCCCUGGAGAUUCUGCACAAGAGAAGGAAAGAAGAUGAGAGUAUAAUAAAGCGAACAAAAAGGAGAGAAAAUAGGAGUAUUAUUAAUGAGUGUGGAAUCAAUUGAAAAGAAAAAAGAAAAAAAGAAACAAUUAAUCGAUGCAUAUUAAUUAUAAGAGAGGAAAUAGGAGAUAAGAGAAUGAAAAAUAAUUAAUGAUAUACUGUGGGUCUCUGUAAUAAUUUAGUUUUGCUAAUUGCUACUAAUAAUAAUAACAAAAAAAAUCUUAUCCAACGAUUUUGUUAGUGUUAAACGAUUAAGAUUUUAUGUAUGUCCUAUCCCAUACGUCGUAUAUUACUGUUUACGGAUGAACAUUUAUUAUCUCCUUCACGGGUGAAGCAAGCAACAUGAUGUGAGUUCCGAGGCACUUGGUCCUCAAAGGGCUGCAGGUAGGUCUUGUGAUCUUAUCUGUAGCCGAGGGAAUAUUAUUAAUCCGUGCCAAAAUGAUGAUAUCGGAGACAUAAUAAUGUGUACCAAGCAUAUAUAUAUAUAACAUUUCAUAUCUUGCAUAUAUGUGCUCCUAUUUGUUAAUAAUUAAUCAAUGUAUUUAAAAAAAAAAACAAUAAUGCUAUGCCGAUCAUCAUCAUGAUAAUACAUAAUUAUAAAUUGUUGUCACCUCACGCAUGCUUGUAGAGAUAACACGUAACUAUGUAUUUUAAAUUAGAGACAAUCGUGUUAAUUAAUCAUGGUGCUGUUCGGUGGCUGUGGGCGCUAGCUGAAGAAUAAUACAUUUUUAAUGAUCAUAUGGCUUCAACUAGCACUAAUCAUAAUUGUACGAUUAUAUAAAUAAAUAUUAAAUUUGUAUUUAUUGUUAUAAUCUGAUGGUCAUCAACAUUUUUGUUCUACAGUAGAAUAGCUCUACCAUAGCCACUGCCUUAUUACAUGUAUGUUACUUUGAAAACAUAAUAUUAUUGUAUCAGUAAAUUAAAUUGCCAAUAAAUAGAUGAGAAGUUACAAGGGCCUUGUUUGGGGGUGCGUGUGGGUGUGUUAUAAGCGCGCAACGUCUAAUGGCAGCGGAGAGGGUGAUUCAAUAUCAUUUCCUCUUUUUUUUUUCUCUGUAAUUAAUAAUUUACAAAGUUAGUUACUGCUAAUUAGGAUUAGACUUGUGUUUAUCUAAUCUGCUUUCUCUUGCUAUAUGGUCUCUGCUAAAACUAAUAAGUGCUUAACUUCUGAUUGAAUUUAAUCAAUUAGGCGUGUCAUUUUCUUUCGGCAUUAAUCGUCAUAAGGUAGCUAGCACUAAGAGCGCCCAUUCCCGUUCUACUGGUUACUAGCAACGCUAAAUAAUGCUAUAUACGAAUAAAUAAGGUUUUUGAAAAACCUUGAAGCAUAUUAUUCUUUAAUUAUUCACGGGUUACUAUGUAUGUAUGGAUGUAAAUUACUGUAAUUAGUUGAAACAUACACAUAACAAAUUAUGUGACUUCAUCAGGACUUUUUUAAUUUAAGUAAUGCUUUUCAGUGGACAAGGAAUCAGCAUUUUUGAGUGGAAAUGAAUUUAAUUUUGUUAUCCAGCAAUUGCGGUGAGGUGAGCAUGCGUAUUCAUACCAAUGGUGUUGUUAAGAAGGCAAUACAUGCCGAGAGCGCCGAGUUUUCUUUUGCUUUUUGUCGGCGAGCUAUUGAACUUGCAUUUCAUUUUCAUUUUUAUGAUCGCGUGACUGUCGAUUGCCAUUCCAGCUUCUAAAGUCUAAACUGACUUAAAGAGUCGUAUAGUUUUCGAACGACAUGUCUUUUUUUUUGGAUAAUUUUUAGGAACUUCCCCGAUGCUUGACAUAUUUGCACUUAAAUUGUAAGUUUUUUAAUAUUAUCACAUGUCUUCCAUGUGGUUAGUAUAAAUAUAUGUACAACAUCAACAUUAGUAUAAACUUGUAAAAGCUCAUUCAAAGUUCAAAAAAAAAAAAAUUUGAAAAACUAAACAUUUGAAAAACUAAACAAAAAUUGUAUGGAACUUGUAAAAGCUCAUUCAAAGUUCAAAAAAAAAAAAAUUUGAAAAACUAAACAAAAAUUGUAUGGAUAUAACCCAUUGAAACACUCUAUUAACCAUUCCAAUUCAUUACCCAUCAUGAAAUAAUUGCAAUUUCUCUUCCAUGAAACCAACGUUGGCAAUUUGUUUUUUACUUUUAAUUAGCUAAACGCCAUUAGCAAAUAACUGAAGCUCUAGAAAAGUUGUUGUUGUUGUAAUCAUAACAAGACAUCACCAAUUUUAAUUGAGCUAGGAAUUAGACAAGUUUUUGUGGUGGCCGUACAAUGAGUAUCGACGGCAUCCGACAUCAAAUGUGACUGGUAUUAGGACUCGAAAGAACUUGGACGUGUAAUUUAGCUUUGGAAGCUGAGGGUUUGGAGUUCAUAAGGAACUUUGAAAAUCCAAAGGCGUAUCCAAUUAAGAAACAAUUAAAGGGCGUUGGAAGAUUGGAUCAUGUUGAUGAUGAUGAAGAAAUACAAAAAUAGUGCUCUUCAAAAGAGGGUUCAAAGGGGUGAAAAAAGCGCUACCAAACACACAAAUAUUGUUAAUUCUUCUGGUUCAUCAUCUCCCAUUCUCCCUCAUCUAGUAGAUCAUUGAGAUUUCUUUUAUAAUUAUUGCCUCUUCCUACUUCGGCCUUUAUUUAUUUAUGUUUAUUGUAUAAUUGUUGAUUGUGCAUUAUUUAAUAAUGCACUAUACUACAUUGUGCAGAAUACAACUUAGAACAUAGGUUCUGCUCUUU
rnacentral:lncRNA from 1 species